rnacentral:rRNA from 1 species
AGUGAACGCUGGCGGCGUGCUUAACACAUGCAAGUCGAACGGAUGAAAUAAGCUUGCUUAUUUCGUUAGUGGCGCACGGGUGAGUAAUGUAUAGCUAACCUGCCCUCUAGUGGGGGACAACAGUUGGAAACGACUGCUAAUACCCCAUACUCCUUCUUAUCAUAAGGUAAGUCGGGAAAGAUUUAUUGCUAAAGGAUGGGGCUUUAUUAUAUCAGCUUGUUGGUGGGGUAAUGGUCUACCAAGGCGAUGACGCAUACCUGGUCUGAGAGGAUGAUCAGGCACACUGGAACUGAGACACGGUCCAGACUCCUACGGGAGGCAGCAGUGGGGAAUAUUGCACAAUGGGGGAAACCCUGAUGCAGCAACGCCGCGUGGAGGAUGACGCAUUUCGGUGUGUAAACUCCUUUUAUAAGGGAAGAUAAUGACGGUACCUUAUGAAUAAGCACCGGCUAACUCCGUGCCAGCAGCCGCGGUAA